GACGAACGCUGGCGGCGUGCCUAAUACAUGCAAGUUGAGCGAUGAAGAUUGGUGCUUGCACCAAUUUGAAGAGCAGCGAACGGGUGAGUAACGCGUGGGGAAUCUGCCUUUGAGCGGGGGACAACAUUUGGAAACGAAUGCUAAUACCGCAUAAUAACUUUAAACAUAAGUUUUAAGUUUGAAAGAUGCAAUUGCAUCACUCAAAGAUGAUCCCGCGUUGUAUUAGCUAGUUGGUGAGGUAGAGGCUCACCAAGGCGAUGAUACAUAGCCGACCUGAGAGGGUGAUCGGCCACAUUGGGACUGAGACACGGCCCAAACUCCUACGGGAGGCAGCAGUAGGGAAUCUUCGGCAAUGGACGAAAGUCUGACCGAGCAACGCCGCGUGAGUGAAGAAGGUUUUCGGAUCGUAAAACUCUGUUGGUAGAGAAGAACGUUGGUGAGAGUGGAAAGCUCAUCAAGUGACGGUAACUACCCAGAAAGGGACGGCUAACUACGUG
rnacentral:rRNA from 1 species